rnacentral:rRNA from 1 species
AAAGAAACCAACAGGGAUUGCCUCAGUAACGGCGAGUGAAGCGGCAAAAGCUCAAAUUUUAAAGCUGGCACCUCCGGUGUCCGCGUUGUAAUUUUGUGAGGCAUCUCCGGGUGGGGCGCCGGCCUAAGUUCCUUGGAACAGGACGUCAUAGAGGGUGAGAAUCCCGUGCUUGGCUGGCUGUCCCCGUCCAUGUGAGGUGUCUUCGACGAGUCGAGUUGUUUGGGAAUGCAGCUCAAAAUGGGUGGUAAAUUUCAUCUAAAGCUAAAUAUUGGUGGGAGACCGAUAGCGCACAAGUAGAGUGAUCGAAAGAUGAAAAGCACUUUGAAAAUAGAGUUAAAAAGUACGUGAAAUUGUUGAAAGGGAAGCGCUUGAGACCAGACUUCGGUGGGGAGUGAUCAGCCGUCCUUCUGGGCGGUGCACUUGCCCCCCUCCGGGCCAGCAUCGGUUGGGACGGCGGGAUAAAGGUCCCGGGAAUGUGGCUCCUCUCGGGGAGUGUUAUAGCCCGGGUGAAUGCCGCCAGCCCCGACCGAGGACCGCGCCUUCGGGCUAGGAUGCUUGGCAUAAUGGUCUUCAGCGACCC